UGGACCUGAAUCUUUGAGAAUGAC
rnacentral:siRNA from 1 species